UGAUAGAAUCUCUCCUUGACGUUUAAAAACAUUAUUUGAUUAAGCAGUGAAUAGUUAUUGAAGCAUGCACAUAUUUAUGGAAAUGAGUGUUAUGGAGAGUAACAUCUACUUUUCAGUUUAUGGAAUAGAGUGCGACUGGAGCUGGGAGAACUUCCUUCUCUGUUGGAGUCUUUGGGAUACUGCCUGCUUCUGGUCCUCUACCCUGGUGCCACUUUCUGUGCCCGCUGGGCACUCAUCCCCAGAGAUUUCUAUAGAGGUUCUUUAUCGCAGAACCUGGGGCUGCUUAUGAACCUGCUGCUCCAAAGGCGGAAAACAGGCUGGUGUGUCAGACCAAGAUGGAUGGGAGAACAGAGCGUGAACAAAGUGGAAGCGUGGGUCUGUGUUUCUCCUGAGUAUUCAAAUACAUCUAAUACAAUUCGUUCCAGUGCUGAGGACAAUCAGACGCCGUAUCUCUGAACUCUGACUGACAAAGCCAAGAGAAAGAAACAAGGUGCAACUCAGAGAAAAGGAAUUUAAUCCAUUCAUCAAAAUUAAUCCACACGAAUAAGGAAAGCUAGCUGCACACAAGAAAGAGGAAACACAUUUCGGGUUUAUCUUUCUCUCCAAGUUGGAGCCCAAUGUUUACGGGAGAGCAAAGCUCAGAACAUUUCAUUUUUGAUGUUCCUAAACACGGUUCUUGAACUUGCAGAUUAUUGCUUUACCUUUUAACACCAGUCCCUGAAG